rnacentral:tRNA from 1 species
GCCUUCGUGUUGUAGUGGUCAGCACGCUCGACGCGUAACCGAGAGGUCCGUGGUUCGAUUCCUGGCGAAGGCA